rnacentral:rRNA from 1 species
AAUUUUGGACAAUGGGGGCAACGCUGAUCCAGCCAUCCCGCGUGUGCGAUGAUGGCCUGCGGGUUGUAAAGCACUUUUGGCAGGGAAGAAAAGGCUCUGGUUAAUACCUGGAGAUGCUGACGGUACCUGCAGAAUAAGCACCGGCUAACUACGUCCAAGCAGCCGCGGUAAUACGUAGGGUGCAAGCGUUAAUCGGAAUUACUGGGCGUAAAGGGGGCGCAGGCGGUUUGGCAAGAAGGAUGUGGUAUCCCGGGGCUUAACCUCAGGACUGCAUUCUUAACUGCCAGGCUAGAGUAUGUCAGAGGGGGGUAGAAUUCCGCGUGUAGCAGUGAAAUGCGUAGAGAUGCGGAGGAAUACCGAUGGCGAAGGCAGCCCCCUGGGAUAAUACUGACGCUCAGGCACGAAAGCGUGGGGAGCAAACA